rnacentral:lncRNA from 1 species
AAUGGAUGCUUCACAAUAUCAGGCUCUCCACGAAAGGAAGGCUGAAGCCUUGCCUAUUUUAUUACAAAAUGAUACACUAAUGUUAUAAAUGGGCAGGAUCGCUCCUGUUGUGUGUCCGCGUGGCACUCCCCAUGCCUCUCCUAUAGCCCUCAGCGCAUCACCGGAGAGACUGAUGGUGCUUAUGUUUCUCACUCUAGCAAGUCCGCGGGAGAAUCACCAGGCUGUGGUCACACUCGUGUGGCAGACCUCAGAAUGGAAUUCGACAUUAAACAACUCUGCCUUCAUGUUGUGAUCACACAGGAAACUUAAUGGUCAGCCCCCACCCAAGCAAGACCAGGGCCAAAUCAACAGUAGAUUUAAUGAGCAAUGAGGGUUGAGCAGCAUGAUUUAUUUAGUCACUGUGGUGAAGCUCAGGUAUAACUGAAAGAGUAAGUUUGACUCUGAACAAUUUAUAACCUUCGCGUAUGGCAAGCGAAGCUCUAGCUGAACUAAUGAAAAGACCGCCUAACAGAAACUGGGAAUAUAAACUUCUACUAAUUUUAAAACAAGCAAAACACAGUUGAAGACAAAAUCAGUGAGCGCUACCCUCGUUUGGGCCUCCCACGUCCCUGGGUGAGCCUGAAGCUGAGGGGCCCUGAAGAGCGAAAACAGACAGCAGAGUCUGGGCACUGAGAGAGCUCCCUCCCGAGGCACCGGGAAGAAUUUGGUCCGCAGAACUAGACUCCAGGACAAGACUCUGGCAGAAGGCAGGAAGAGGUACAUGAAUGUGCCUGGCUGGUAUCUGAGCAGUAAUCAUGCUUGUCAGGAAUCGCUGCCCCACUGUAAUACCUACUACAAUGAUGCCCUGUUCCAAACUCAGCGAAGCCCCUGUCCCUCUCAUUUCAUUGAGAACUGUCCAGCUGGCUGAGGUGCAGGAUUCUACACCAACAAGGGCUCAACUUUCGAGAUAAAAAUAGAGUUGAAAGUCAUUUGUUUCACUGAGAUUCCUUCCUCAUUUGCCUGCCUUUCAAAACUGCCUCACAAAGCUAAUUUCGGGAAUUAAAAAAAAAUCCUCAAAUAUGUUAAUAAAGCUUUAGGUGAAAUUUAAUUUAAAAACAGAC